AGGACGAACGCUGGCGGCGUGCUUAACACAUGCAAGUCGAGCGAGGCUCUCCCCUUCGGGGGGGAUGCCCUAGCGGCGAACGGGUGAGUAACACGUGGGCAACCUGCCCCUAGCACUGGGAUAACUUCGGGAAACCGAGGCUAAUACCGGAUAUGACCUUUGAGGGCAUCCUCGAAGGUGUAAAGGAUUCUGGCUAGGGAUGGGCCCGCGGCCUAUCAGCUUGUUGGUGGGUAAUGGCCCACCAAGGCGACGACGGGUA
rnacentral:rRNA from 1 species